UUUGGAUGGUGAAAGAUUUGAACAAAAUGGCGGUUCAACAGUUAACAGACAUAGAAUUGCAAGCUGCAAGCAGCAGAUGUUUCACGAUAGGAACUCAGCUAGGGGAGGAAUACACACAGUUCAACCAAAAAGUACUCACACUUCAGACUGCAUAGCGUGAUGCAGUACUUGGGGGAGAUAAACAAGCAUAACCCAGUCAUAUCCUGUCUGUACAGUUACAAACUGCCAAAGGUAACAGGGUUAAUACAGAACACGAUCCGCCAGAGAGAGAGAGAGAGGGGUGACCAGAGUCACCAGGCGAGAGAUACACAGUACUACUAACCCUACAGAGGAGGAGAGAAUGUGGUACAAGAUGGAACUAAUUUAGAUGUACAAUAUAGGCUUGUGAGAACUUUUACUAACAAUGAAGAAUGACAGUUGACAAACAGUACAUGGACUAAACAACAGUGUCGGUUUACAAACAACUCUGUCGAGUAAAAAACAAACAGUAGAUAUGUUGAACAACAAUAUCGAGUGACAAAUAGUACAUAAAUGUUGUGGACAGCAGGCGGAGUGACAAUGAUACAUAUUCUUAACAACUGGCAAAUCGUAUCUUUUUCUGAACAACAGAGUUGGGCGACAUUUGAAUGGUGCCGAGACAUUAUAGUUGUCAGCAUUUGUAGAAAACAUAAUUCGAGAAGCCUGUUUUUUUUUUAGUACAUUGAAUUCAUGAGGGACAGUAAACAUAGGUCAUAAUAUUUUACCGGAAGCAUAAUUUAAUGGUUGUAUGACCUUUUUGUAUAAAUGUUGUACUGUAUACAGAUAUGGUC